GGUGAACGCUAGUGGAGGCUUAACACAUGCAAGUCAGGGGCAGCAUUUCUAGCUUGCUGAAGGUGCGACCGGCGACGGGUGCGUAACGCGUAUGCAACUUGCCUAUAACUAAGGGAUAACUCAGAGAAAUUUGCGCUAAUACCUUAUAAUAUCAUUUAUUCGCAUGUUUAAAUGAUUAAAGAAUUUCGGUUAUAGAUAGGCAUGCGUCCUAUUAGCUUGUUGGUAAGGUAACGGCUUACCAAGGCAACGAUAGGUAGGGGGCCUGAGAGGGUGAUCCCCCACACUGGUACUGAGACACGGACCAGACUCCUACGGGAGGCAGCAGUGAGGAAUAUUGGUCAAUGGAGGCAACUCUGAACCAGCCAUCCCGCGUGAAGGAUUGAAGGCGCUCGACGUCGUAAACUUCUUUUAUAUAGGAAUAAACUUAGGUACGUGUACUUAACUGAAUGUACUAUAUGAAUAAGCAUCGGCUAACUCCGUG
rnacentral:rRNA from 1 species